rnacentral:misc_RNA from 1 species
AAGGAGUCUAACAAACCUGCGAGUAUUUGGGUGGUAAACCCGAGUGCGCAAUGAAAGUGAAAGUUGGGAUUCCUGUCGUGGGAAGCACCGACGCCCGGACCAGACCUUCUGUGACGGAUCUGCGGUAGAGCAUGUUUGUUGGGACCCGAAAGAUGGUGAACUAUGCCUGAAUAGGGUGAAGCCAGAGGAAACUCUGGUGGAGGCUCGUAGCGAUUCUGACGUGCAAAUCGAUCGUCAAAUUUGGGUAUAGGGGCGAAAGACUAAUCGAACCAUCUAGUAGCUGGUUCCUGC